rnacentral:misc_RNA from 1 species
GAUGAAGAACGUAGCGAAAUGCGAUAAGUAAUGUGAAUUGCAGAAUCCAGUGAAUCAUCGAAUCUUUGAACGCACAUUGCGCCCGCCAGCAUUCUGGCGGGCAUGCCUGUUCGAGCGUCAUUUCAACCCUCGACCUCCCUUUGGGGAAGUCGGCGUUGGGGACCGGCAGCACACCGCCGGCCCUGAAAUGGAGUGGCGGCCCGUCCGCGGCGACCUCUGCGUAGUAAUCCAACUCGCACCGGAACACCGACGCGGCCACGCCGUAAAACACCCAACUUCUGAACGUUGACCUCGAAUCAGGUAGGACUACCCGCUGAACUUAAGCAUAUCAAUAAGCGGAGGA